AGGCCAGACUCCUACGGGAGGCAGCAGUGGGGACUAUUGCACAAUGGGGGGAACCCUGAUGCAGCGACGCCGCGUGGGUGAAGGAGUAUUUCGGUAUGUAAAGCCCUAUCAGCAGGGAAGAACAAUGACGGUACCUGACUAAGAAGCACCGGCUAAAUACGUGCCAGCAGCCGCGGUAAUACGUAUGGUGCAAGCGUUAUCCGGAUUUACUGGGUGUAAAGGGAGCGCAGGCGGCGCGUUAAGCCUGGUGUGAAAGCCCGCGGCCCAACCGCGGGACUGCAUUGGGAACUGGCGCGCUGGAGUGCCGGAGGGGUAGGCGGAAUUCCUGGUGUAGCGGUGAAAUGCGUAGAUAUCAGGAGGAACACCGGUGGCGAAGGCGGCCUGCUGGACUGCAACUGACGUUGAGGCCCGAAAGCGUGGGGAGCAAACAGGAUUAGAUACCCCCGUAA
rnacentral:rRNA from 1 species